UGGAAAAGGAAUGAAGUGAGAGCAUGUGAUGGAAAGAGGGAGGGAAAGAGCUAAUUAUGGCAGUGAUGUGGGUUGAUGCAAGUGAGUGAGCGGAGCAUUCGUGUGCCAAAAGUCCAGAAAAUCACUGGCAUAGGUACAACGAUGCGAGCGAGACGAAGAUUGGGGCAGCGCAGUCAUCAGGAACUCGGGAGCGCAUCUGGCUGAGCAACAGCCUGCGGAAAGAAAGACUUACGGAUGUGCUGGAGAGGCAGACAGGUCCAUGAAUGCAUUUACACACACACUCACACGCGCUCUCACACAUCGUCUGGUGUCACCCACAAGUAACAACCAACCUGACCAACACCCUAAGAACACAGCCAAGAUAGCAAAGGAGUGUCUACAGGAUGACUCUGUGAAUGUCCUUGAGUGGCCCAGCCAGA